rnacentral:lncRNA from 1 species
GAUUUGAAGCACAAUUGUCAUCAGUUCACAGAAGAAUUUUGAAUUCUGUUUCCAGAGGCCUAUCUCUGCCUGCCCAGAGACUGUACAUCUUUAGAGAUGAGCAAAACUCUGCACUCUGCAAAAUCAGCACCCUCUGUCUAAUCAAAAGUUAACUUGGCCCAGGUUUUAGUUUAUCUGUUAAGUUUUGUUGGAAAGUGAUAUAAUAAAUCUUAUUACAAGAUACAGCUGAUUAUGUAUACAUUAUGUCUUUGGAGAAAUUUGCAUUUUAAGAGGAAGGUCAAGGAUGCCUUAAUUACAAACAUUGCAUUUUUGGUUAUUUAAAUAGUAUCUGGGAAAAUGGUGAAGAUAUAUAGGAAGUUAAGAAAGAUACCUGUAUCUACCACGUGUGAAAGAUUAUCUCAGUAAAUAGAAUUG